rnacentral:rRNA from 1 species
GAUGAACGCUGGCGGCGUGCCUAAUACAUGCAAGUCGAGCGAACGGACGAGAAGCUUGCUUCUCUGAUGUUAGCGGCGGACGGGUGAGUAACACGUGGAUAACCUACCUAUAAGACUGGGAUAACUUCGGGAAACCGUAGCUAAUACCGGAUAAUAUUUUGAACCGCAUGGUUCAAAAGUGAAAGACGGUCUUGCUGUCACUUAUAGAUGGAUCCGCGCUGCAUUAGCUAGUUGGUAAGGUAACGGCUUACCAAGGCAACGAUGCAUAGCCGACCUGAGAGGGUGAUCGGCCACACUGGAACUGAGACACGGUCCAGACUCCUACGGGAGGCAGCAGUAGGGAAUCUUCCGCAAAGGGCGAAAGCCUGACGGAGCAACGCCGCGUGAGUGGUGAAGGUCUUCGGAUCGUAAAACUCUGUUAUUAGGGAAGAACAUAUGUGUAAGUAACUGUGCACAUCUUGACGGUACCUAAUCAGAAAGCCACGGCUAACUACGUG